AACCAGAGGAGUUCUUUUUUUAAAAACAUUUGCCAGGGGAAAGCGCGAACGCAGUCCCCCACUACCACAAAUUAUGCAGUCGAGUUUCCCACAUUUGGGGAAAUCGCAGGGGUCAGCACAUCCGGAGUGCAAUGGAUGAGCCUCGCCCUGGGAAAACCACCUUCGUGAUCAUGGUAUCUCCCCUGCCAGGUAAGUAUGAAUUGUGAAUGCUGGGGAAAGCGCGAACGCAGUCCCCCACUACCACAAAUUAUGCAGUCGAGUUCCCCACAUUUGGGAAAAUCGCAGGAGUCAGCACAUCCCAAGUGCAAU